UGCUAAUUUAGUCAGUAGUCAUAGUAACAGUCUUUCUCUCAGUAGGUUAAUGCAGUCUUGAGUCAGUAGUCAUAGUAACGGUCUUUCUCUCAGUAGGUUAAUGCAGUCUUGAGUCAGUAGUCAUAGUAACAGUCUUUCUCUCAGAAGGUUAAUGCAGUCUUGAGUCAGUAGUCAUAGUAACAGUCUUUCUCUCAGAAGGUUAAUGCAGUCUUGAGUCAGUAGUCAUAGUAACAGUCUUUCUCUCAGAAGGUUAAUGCAGUCUUGAGUCAGUAGUCAUAGUAACAGUCUUUCUCUCAGAAGGUUAAUGUCUGGCAGUCAGUAGUCAUAGUAACAGCCUUUCUCUCAGUAGGUUAAUGCAGUCUUCAGUCAGUAGUCAUAGUAACAGACUUUCUCUCAGUAGGUUAAUGUCUGGCAGUCAGUAGUCAUAGUAACAGUCUUUCUCUCAGUAGGUUAAUGUCUGGCAGUCAGUAGUCAUAGUAACAGUCUUUCUCUCAGAAGGUUAAUGUCUGGCAGUCAGUAGUCAUAGUAACAGUCUUUCUCUCAGUAGGUUAAUGUCUGGCAGUCAGUAGUCAUAGUAACAGUCUUUCUCUCAGUAGGUUAAUGUCUGGCAGUCAGUAGUC